AAGAAAAAAAAACAGCGCCCCCACUGUCCCCGCACCCCAUCUCUUCCACCUCCCGUCCCGAACUCCACCAUCCCACCUUCCCGCCGCCAGGAUCCAGCCAACGGCGAGUCGGCGACCACCACCAACCCACCUCCCCCGUCGCCGGGAUCCAACCAUGAAUCCACCGCCCCGCCGUCGGGAUCCAGCCACCAAUCCACCUCCCUGCCGCCGGGAUCCCGCUGCUGCACAACCGCCACCAACGCAACCUCCCAUCGCCGGGAUCCUGCCGCCGCGCGACAGCCACCAACUCACCUCCCACGUCGCCGGAAUUCACCCCUCAGCGGCCUUCCUCCUCUGCUGCCGCGACCUUCCACCUCUGCCACUGCGGCCUUCUUCCCUCAUGUGCCUCCCUAGAUCGGCGACGCGAUGCACGUUCCCCCACUGGUGACCCUCCCCCUGAGUUCACUCUCUUCCCUCCAUCGCCGGCCUGAGAGCUACCCACGCCACCCCGCGCUGCCACCUUGCUCCUCCCGGUCGAUCUCCCGGAUCCGACGCUCCUGUACAGAGCAGUGCUACCGCGCACCACACUAGUCAGCAUUAGCGCCCCUCUUCCUCCAUGCUGUUCCUGCCCUCUUCCUCCAUGCUACUGCUGCCCUCUUCCUCCAUGCUGCUGCUGCCUUCGACUCUGCCCCCGCACUCCAUAGCCUCCGCAUUGAGCUGCCCUCUCCUUCAACUGGCAGUGCACACAAGCUGUUUGUGUAUAUGACUCAAACAAAAAAGUGUGUUUUCUUUUUCAUGGACAAAUCAAUGCAGCGUCAUGGACUCAUCUUCUAUAGCACAUAAGUAGGCAUGCAUGCCAGAUUGGUUCCUUCCACUACCUAGCUGAUGUUGUUUGUACCUAGACUACCCACAGUGCCUGAUGAAGCUUCAAGACCGCAAAUAGACAAGCCCACGGAGAAACAACAUCCUUGUGCAUCUUGAGCUGCUGAAGCAGGACUUGAUGGAACAAGAUAUGGCGUCGGGAACACAGCAGGAUUAGCAAGUAAUUUCGAGAGUAAUCUUGUAUGCGCCCUGGGCUCAGUUUGCGCCAUGAUAAAUUGUUUUCAACAUGUAA